rnacentral:rRNA from 1 species
AUCCGCGAUAGGUGUGAUGUCCUGGAAUGGUAUCACGCCCAAAUGUGUUCGCACGCCUAAGGAUGGGGCUGCGGCCGAUCAGGCAGUUGGUGAGGUAACGGCUCACCAAACCUUUGACCGGUACGGGCCAUGAGAGUGGUAGCCCGGAGAUGGACACUGAGACAAGGGUCCAGGCCCUACGGGGCGCAGCAGGCGCGAAACCUCCUCAAUGCACUCACGUGCGAAGGGGUUACCUCGAGUGCCAUCUGAAGAAGGUGGCUUUUCCUUGGUCUAAAAAGCCUAGGGAAUAAGAGGGGGGCAAGACUGGUGUCAGCCGCCGCGGUAACACCAGCCCCUCGAGUGGUGGGGAUGAUUAUUUGGCCUAAAGCGUCCGUAGCCGGCCGGAAAAGUCUCCCGUUAAAUCCAGCGUCUCAAGCGUUGGACUGCGGGAGAUACUGUCUGGCUAGAGAGUGGGAGAGGUGUACGGUAUUCUGGGGGUAGGGGCGAAAUCCUUUGAUCCCCGGAGGACCACCAGUGGCGAAGGCUGUGCACUAGAACACGUCUGACGGUCAGGGACGAAAGCUGGGGUAGCGAACCGGAUUAGAUACCCGGGUAGUCCCAGCCGUAAACGAUGCACGC